GUCAAAAUCAUGAUAAUUUUAUUUUUUUGCAUCUCAAUGUUUCAGCAUCUCCUGCCAGUACAAGCUCUUCUACAACUGAGCCUCAAACAGCAGAACCUACAACCUCUGCCACAACAAACUCUCCAUAUACUGAGUCUCCCACAUCAGUUCUUUCAACAUCUCCUGCCAGUCCAAGUGCUUCUACAACUGAGACUCAAACAACAGAACCUACAACACCGCCUGCAAGUGCAAGCCCUUCAGAUUCUCAAACAGCAGAACCCACAAGUAAGUAAUACACAAGUACAGUUGUAUGAAAAGUAUUCCAGGAAUGUUUAACCAUUCUGCUGUUAAUGUAAAUUAAAAUUGUAGUGAGUAGUCAGGGUGACAACAGAGGGGAUAAUUCACAGUU
rnacentral:lncRNA from 1 species